GACGAACGCUGGCGGCGUGCUUAACACAUGCAGGUCGAACGCUGAAGCUUGGUGCUUGCACUGGGUGGAUGAGUGGCGAACGGGUGAGUAAUAAGUGAGUAACCUGCCCUUGACUCUGGGAUAAGCCUGGGAAACUGGGUCUAAUACUGGAUACGACAUGUCACCGCAUGGUGGUGUGUGGAAAGGGUUUUACUGGUUUUGGAUGGGCUCACGGCCUAUCAGCUUGUUGGUGGGGUAAUGGCUCACCAAGGCGACGACGGGUAGCCGGCCUGGGAGGGUGACCGGCCACACUGGGACUGAGACACGGCCCAGACUCCUACGGGAGGCAGCAGUGGGGAAUAUUGCACAAUGGGCGGAAGCCUGAUGCAGCGACGCCGCGUGAGGGAUGACGGCCUUCGGGUUGUAAACCUCUUUCAGCACGGAAGAAGCGAAAGUGACGGUACGUGCAGAAGAAGCGCCGGCUAACUACGUG
rnacentral:rRNA from 1 species